rnacentral:rRNA from 1 species
CGCGUAGGCGGACAUUUAAGUCAGGGGUGAAAUCCCAGAGCUCAACUCUGGAACUGCCUUUGAUACUGGGUGUCUUGGGUGUGAGAGAGGUAUGUGGAACUCCGAGUGUAGAGGUGAAAUUCGUAGAUAUUCGGAAGAACACCAGUGGCGAAGGCGACAUACUGGCUCAUUACUGACGCUGAGGCGCGAAAGCGUGGGGAGCAAACAG